AACGCGAAGAACCUUACCAAGGUUUGACAUCCUGCGAAGGUCUCUGAAAGGAGACUGUGCCUUCGGGAACGCAGUGACAGGUGAUGCAUGGCCGUCGUCAGCUCGUGUCGUGAGAUGUUUGGUUAAGUCCAUUAACGAGCGCAACCCUUAUAGUUAGUUGCUUUUUCUAGCUAGACUGCCCUGGUAACAGGGAGGAAGGAGGGGAUGAUGUCAGGUCAGUAUUUCCCUUACACCUUGGGCUACAAACACGCUACAAUGGCCGGUACAAAGGGCUGCCAAGUCGCGAGACGGAGCAAAUCCCAUCAAAGCCGGUCUCAGUUCGGAUUGUAGGCUGAAACUCGCCUGCAUGAAGAUGGAAUCGCUAGUAACGGUAGGUCAGCAUUACUACCGUGAAUACGUUCCCGGGCCUUGUA
rnacentral:rRNA from 1 species